rnacentral:lncRNA from 1 species
CAGAUACAGACCCCAUACUCUAAAAGAAUUUUGAAAAGUGUGUCCACAUAUUUUUACUAAAGGAGAAAUCAUCUGGGGACAUUGUUAACACAAAUGACUGAGCCUCAGCUCAUCGAAUCCUUAUUCAAUCUAUAUCACAAUUACCUAGGUUUUACUUUUUUUUUUUUUUUUUUUUUUUUUGAGAUGGAGUCUCACUCUGUCACCAGGCUGGAGUGCAGUGGCGUGAUCUCGGCUCACUGCAACCUCUGCCUCCUGGGUUCAAGCGGUUUUACUUUUCAAUGUAAAUUUCUGCAUCCCAGGUUACCACUGCUCUAAAAUCACUUUAGGUGCUGAUAAAUUCUAGUAUUUUUGCCAUUACUUUAAAUGGCAAAAACUGCAAUUACUUUUGCACUAACCUGAUAUUUUUGGGAGAGAGUUCUCAAAUAUGAGAUGAUCAUUUUAUUCAUUCUAGGAAUUUUUACUGAGCAUUUAUUAUGUGCCAUGAAUUUCUAGAUACUUGGUGAAUGGCAGUGAACAAAUGAAACUCUGUGCCUCUCUAAGGAGCUCAUGUUCUACUGAACAAAUAAAUGUAUGUGAGAUGCAGAAAUAAAUCUAUGUCAGAUGGAUAAAAGCAGUGGAGAAAAAUAAGGCAGGGGUGGGGGCAUGGAGUGGGAUGGGUAGGGUUAUCCUUUAUAUAGUCAGGGGUGGCCUUUCUGGUAAGAUCAUGUUGGAACAGAGGAUGUCAGGCAAUGAACCAUGAAACCUACAACUACUCAACAGUAUCCAGACUAAAGUAACAACAUCAUGUACAAAGGACCUGUAGGUUGGAAAAAUAAGACCAGUGUUUGGAAAGCAGUGAAAGGAGAAAAAUGAGAAUAGAAGUUAUCAGAGUGGUAGUGAGGAACUGAAUCUAUCACAUUGGGUGGUGAAGGCCAUGGUAAUCACAUGGAAAAUAGUAUGUGCCUUAUGUGUUAACAGAUCAACCUGGGGCUGAGAAUGCAAUAUGUGGGGAAAUUGUGGAGGCAGGAAGACCAGUUGCAGGGCACUGGCUCUAGUCCAGGCAUAAAAAGAUGGUAGCAUGACCAACAUGAUGGUAGAAGUGGUAAUAAAUAGUCAAAUUCUGGAUUUAUUUUAAAGAGUUAGCUAUGAUAAUUUUUAUAAUGGAUUGGAUGUGGAGCGCAAAAGAAAGAGGAAUCAUGGAUGACUAGAUGUAAUGUUUGGGUAUUAGAGCUUAGUAAAUUUGAUGUAGGUAAAAUACUCUCCCAGCAAAUUCCCAGUUGGGCACAGGUGUGAAGCUAAUUUGACUUAUGACUAAAGCAACAUCUUCCAUGGAGCAGUAAAGGUGAAAAACUGGAAUACAUGUCUUCCAAAUAACUCAUUAAAACCUGCAUUCUUCCUGACAUGAAUCAUUCUGUUCAAGAUUUCUUUUAAUUCAUCACCUCCAACAAGAAAAGGAAAAGGCAAAGGCAAAAAG